ACCCUAACUCUUAAGAUCUUCGAACCUACAUGCAUAUUUCAGAAUACUAUUACUUCGUUCCUGAGUUUUAAGCGUUGAAUUGUCAAAUGCUUUUGUAUUAUAGGACCUUGUAGUUUGUUCCGUGUGAGUGAAUUACUAAAGAGCUCAAGUGAAGUAUGCGUGAGGACGGAAAUCAGGGAUCUACUUCUGUUAUUUGAAGUUCAAGUAAUAACACUGAUUCCUCUUGGGUGCUUCUGGAGCUGGACUUAAGAGUUAGAAUUGUGGGUUUGCUAGUAUGAGUUAAUCUAUAUCUUCAUGCUGUGGGGAGACUUUGAAGGCUCAAUAUGGGAGUUUUUGAUGAGUUACCUUUGCCUUCCGAAAAAGCUG